rnacentral:rRNA from 1 species
UACGUAGGGUGCGAGCGUUAAUCGGAAUUACUGGGCGUAAAGCGUGCGCAGGCGGCGCCAUAAGACAGAUGUGAAAUCCCCGGGCUCAACCUGGGAAUUGCGAUUGUGACUGCAAGGCUGGAGUGCGGCAGAGGGGGAUGGAAUUCCGCGUGUAGCAGUGAAAUGCGUAGAUAUGCGGAGGAACACCGAUGGCGAAGGCAAUCCCCUGGGCCUGCACUGACGCUCAUGCACGAAAGCGUGGGGAGCAAAC